rnacentral:rRNA from 1 species
AACGAACGCUGGCGGCGCGUCUUACACAUGCAAGUCGAACGGCAGGAAGGGGCUUGCCCCUUCUGAGAGUGGCGGACUGGUGAGUAACACGUGGGUGACAUACCUUUUAGUUUGGGAUAGCUAUUAGAAAUAGUAGGUAAUACCGAAUGUGACCGUACCUGUUAGAGGGGUACGAGGAAAGGAGCUAAGGCUUCGCUAAAAGAAUGGCUCGCGGCCCAUUAUGCUAGUUGGUGAGGUAACGGCCCACCAAGGCGAUGAUGGGUAUCCGGCCUGAGAGGGUGAACGGACACAUUGGGACUGAGAUACGGCCCAGACUUCUACGGGAGGCAGCAGUGAAGAAUAUUCCGCAAUGGACGAAAGUCUGACGGAGCGACGCCGCGUGGAUGAAGAAGGCCGAAAGGUUGUAAAAUCCUUUUAAGCCUGAUGAAUAAGCACAGUAGGGAAUGAUUGUGCGGUGACCGUAGGGCUUGAAUAAGCACCGGCUAAUUACGUG